AUACGGAGGGUGCAAGCGUUAAUCGGAAUUACUGGGCGUAAAGCGCACGUAGGUGGUUUGUUAAGUCGGAUGUGAAAUCCCCGGGCUCAACCUGGGAAUGGCAUUCGAGACUGGCAAGCUAGAGUCUGGUAGAGGGUGGUGGAAUUCCAGGUGUAGCGGUGAAAUGCGUAGAUAUCUGGAGGAACAUCAGUGGCGAAGGCGGCCACCUGGACCAAGACUGACACUGAGGUGCGAAAGCGUGGGUAGCAAACAGGAUUAGAUACCCUGGUAGUCCACGCCGUAAACGAUGAGAACUAGAUGUUGGGAGGGUUAAACCUUCUAGUGUCGCAGCUAACGCACUAAGUUCUCCGCCUGGGGAGUACGGCCGCAAGGUUAAA
rnacentral:rRNA from 1 species